rnacentral:rRNA from 1 species
CUACGGGGGGCACCAGUGAGGAAUAUUGCACAAUGGGGGGAACCCUGAUGCAGCAACGCCGCGUGGAGGAUGACGCAUUUCGGUGUGUAAACUCCUUUUAUAUGUCAAGAAAAUGACGGUAGCAUAUGAAUAAGCGCCGGCUAACUCCGUGCCAGCAGCCGCGGUAAUACGGAGGGUGCAAGCGUUACUCGGAAUCACUGGGCGUAAAGGACGCGUAGGCGGGUUGGAAAGUCAGGUGUGAAAUCCUACAGCUUAACUGUAGAACUGCACUUGAAACUUCUAAUCUAGAGUAUGGGAGGGGAGAUGGAAUUAGUGGUGUAGGGGUAAAAUCCGUAGAUAUCACUAGGAAUACCUAAAGCGAAGGCGAUCUCCUGGAACAUUACUGACGCUAAGGCGUGAAAGCGUGGGGAGCAAACAGGAUUAGAUACCCCGGUAGUC